UCUUAUCGCUGCAGUGCUGCAGUUGCAUUUCGGUGUUUUGUUUUGAUUCUUGAUUUUCUUUUGUAUUGCAAUUAAUAAUGAAUUAAAUACUCGCAGAUUGACGAAACUUUUGGCAUUUGAAUAGGAAUUUAAAUUAGCACCUUUAAAAUUUGACCUACAGCUCGACAAUGUCAACGUGAACUUGGGCCCAACUUUGCGCACAUCAUGGAGUGGAUAUUUAAGGUCCUAAAAGAACCCCGACCUACGGCGAGCUAGACCCGAGCAUAGCAAGAGUGCGCAUCUCUAGCGAAGGAAGUACAAGGUCCUCUUUAUUAGUAAUUGCCACCCACUAUUAAAAGACCAGCUAGUUAAAAUCUGUCGAACUACGUACACUACAACUGGUACCACUAUACUAAAGAAAAUGCGUGGUAUACUAAAUGACUUUGGUUGCUGCCUGGAGGAGGAAAAGCCUGUCAUAGUGACGGACCGUGGCUCCAAUAUGAUAGCAGCCUUUCGUGAUAACCGGCAUAUUCACUGCAUGAAUCACUUGAUUAACAAUUGUGUGGAGAAAGCAGUUAAAGGUGUGCAGGAGGUUGCGGAUCUUGUUAUCAAAUGUAGCAAGCUUGUAUAAUACUUUAAAAAGUCUAGGAGCAAUUCCAGCCUAGAAAUUACCUUAAAAAGUUUUUGCCCAACUAGGUGGAAUACCAUUUUCUAUUUGUUUAAGUCAGUGGAGGUCAAUUGGGUUGAAAUAACAAAUAUUUUGAUUGAAAAACACCAAACACCCAGAGUUGAUGGAAUUAAUUUAAAUCAUUUGAGCUCAAUUGUCCGCGUGCUUUCUGUAUUUGAAGAGGUCACCAAAAAAUUGGAAGGCAGUAAUUAUCCAACCAUCCACCUAACCAUUCCAUAUAUUAGAAAAUUAGAGAAAUGUUGCACUGCAGAUUCAAACGAUAAUGCCUGUAUCGCACACCUUAAGUCCCAUUUGUCCGAUCAAAUAUCAAUAGUUAUCCAUCCAUAUCUUACUAACUACCAUAAAAUAGCCCUUUUCCUUUUUCCAGCAACAAAUAAACUUGUACAAUG